CACAAAGGGAAAUCUUAAUCAUAUCCUCAAAGUAAAAUAUAAUUUAUAUUAGAGAUUUAUGAUUAACCAAUUUUUUGAAAGAUCUAGCACGAGGAAAUAUAUUUAAAAUGUCUUUUUCACAACGGGUUUGCCACCAGAACACAGGGGCCAUGAAAACCACCCAUAAAAGCCAAAAUUGGGAAGGAAAAGACCCACAUCAACAUCGUCGUCAUCGGACACGUAGAUUUGGGCAAGUCCACCACUACUGGCCAUCUGAUCUACAAAUGUGGUGGGAUCGACAAAAGAACCAUCGAAAAAUUUGAGAAGGAGGCCGCUGAAAUGGGAAAGGGCUCCUUCAAGUAUGCGUGGGUCUUGGAUAAACUGAAAGCUGAGCGUGAGCGUUGUGUCACCAUUGAUAUCUCCCUGUGGAAAUUUGAGACCAGCAAAUAUUAUGUGACUCUUAUUGAUGCCCCAGGACACAGAGACUUUAUCAAAAACAUGAUUACAGGCACAUCUCAGGCUGACUGUGCUGUCCUGAUUGUUGCUGAUGGUGUUGGUGAAUUUGAAGCUGGUGUCUCAAAGAAUAGGCAGACCCAUGAACAUGCCCUUCUGGCUUACACACUAGGUGUGAAACAACUAAUUGUUGGUGUUAACAAAAUGGAUUCCACCGAGCCGCCCUACAGCCAGAAGAGAUACAAGGAAAUUGUUAAAGAAGUUAGCACUUACAUAAAGAAAAUUGGCUACAACCCUGACACAGUAGCAUUUGUGCCAAUUUCUGGCUGGAAUGGUGACAACAUGUUGGAGCCAAGUGCUAACAUGCCUUGGUUCAAGGGAUGGAAAGUCAGCCGUAAAAGAUGGCAAUGCCAGUGGAACCACACUGCUUGAAGCUCUGGAUUACAUCCUGCCACCAACUUAUCCAACUGACAAGCCCUUGCGUCUGCCUCUCCAGGAUGUCUACAAAAUUGGUGGUAUUGGCACUGUCCCUGUGGGCCGAGUGGAGACUGGUGUUCUCAAACCCGGCAUGGUGGUCACCUUUGCUCCAGUCAAUGUUACAACUGAAGUAAAGUCCGUUGAAAUGCACCAUGAAGCUUUGGGCAAAGCUCUUCCAGGGGACAACAUGAGUUUCAACAUCAAGAAUGUAUCUGUCAAAGAUGUUCGCCGUGGCAACGUUGCUGGUGACAGCAAAAAUGACCCACCAAUGGAAGCAGCAGACUUCACUGCUCAGGUGAUUAUCCUGAACCAUCCAGGCCAAAUUAGCACUGGCUACGCUCCUGUACUGGAUUGUCAUACUGCCCACAUUGCCUGCAAGUUUGCUGAGCUCAAGGAAAAGAUUGAUCGCUGCUCUGGAAAGAAGCUGGAGGAUGCUCCUAAAUUCUUUAAGUCUGGUGAUGCUGCCAUCAUUGAUAUGGUUCCUGGCAAGCCCAUGUGUGUUGAGAGCGUCUCAGACUAUCCUCCUCUGGGUCGUUUUGCUGUUCGUGAUAUGAGACAGACAGUUGCUGUGGGUGUCAUCAAAGCAGUGGACAAGAAGGCAGCUGGAGCUAGCAAGGUCACUAAAUCUGCCCAGAAAGCUCAGAAGGCUAAAUGAAUAUUAUCCCUAAUCUUGCCACCCCACUCUUAAUCAGUGGUAGAAGAAUGGUCUCAGAACUGUUUGUUUCAAUUGGCCAUUUAAGUUUAAUAGUAAAAGACUGGUUGUUAAUAAUACAUUGUAACGUAAAACUUUCAGAAGGAAAGGAGAAUGUUUUGUGAACCACUUUUGUUUCUUUUUGUAUGGCAGUUUUAAGUUAUUAGUUUUUAAAAUCAGUACUUUUUAAUGGAAACAACUUGACCAAAAAUCUGUCACAGUAUUUUGAGACUCAUUAAAAUAAAGUUUAAUGAGGGAAAAAUAAAUAAAUAAAUAAAUAAAUAAAUAAAUAAAUAAAUAAAUAAAUAAAUAAAUAAAUAAAAUGUAACAGGAAGAGUGAGAAACAGAACUUCAAGAUUCUAAAGGGGCCAUGGAUCUCACAAAGAAUUUGAUUCUUGUCCAUGAAGAAUUUUUGUUCACACUCUGAACAUUCUUCCUCCAAACAUGUACAUGUGGGCAUACUAAGAAAAUGUUCUUUUGAUUCUAGGGGGUUCUCAGACCUUUUGAAAUCCAUUUAUGGACCUAAAAUUAAACAUCUCUUAGCUAGGCUAUAUUAUAUUUUCAUUGUACUUAUUUUGUUUAUUUAAGUGAACUUUAAUGCAUUAUUACUUCUUUAGUUUUAACAUCAUAUGGCUCUUUAUUCCACGGGUUGGUCUUUGUUAUAAAAUAAAAUGUAUCUUUUUAUAAAUCAAUAUUUCUGUUAAGAUUAACUUUGGCCAAAUAUUAGAGUGGAGUGGGGGUUGGUGAUGGAAUAACAGUGGCUUCAAUAAGAAAGAAAUUUUUUUCUUUCUCAUGUAAGAAUCUAGGGCGGGACAGUCUAGGAUUGGCUUUGCAGCACCAUGGUAUUAUCAGGGCCUCAGGCUCCUGUAUUUCUUCUCUACUAUCUUUUAUAUAUGGCUUUCAUUUUCAAAGUCACCUCAUUGUCUAUUGUGCUGUAUUUUUGUCUGUAGCUGAAAGGAACGGGAGAUAAAAGGAAUUGCCUUUUACCUCCCACUCCUAUGCUUAUGUUUUGUUUCCCAGUACUUAGUCCCCACUUAGCUGCAAAAGAGGCUGGGAAUACAGUUUGUUUGUUCGUUUUGGCUGAGGGUAUUGCUGCCUCAAAUAAUACUGGGUUCUGUUACUCAGAAGAAAGGGGAAAAUGCAUGGUGAGGAAUCAGUCUUUGUCAGUGUUUUAGAAUUGUGUAGUUAUAUUCCUUGCCAUAACUAUAGUGCAAAGUAUCUCUUUAUUACAUUUGCUUUCUCACUUUGUUUCAAUAUACACCUCACCUCACAGGCAUCCCCAUAUUAGCUUUGCUAUGAUAAUUCUGUCUCCAUGUUUUCUUAAGGUAUUCGUCCUUUACCGCAUUUUCUUGUCAUACUGUAGCUCUGAUGUUAUUUUUUCAGGCUCUCUGACCUCUUUAGUGAAGAAUAAUAUAUCAGUUUCUUAGAUC